UGCCUGGCGCCACGGGCAUAUACGCCAUACUGCACCGCAACCGUAAACUGUAGUACCGUACCGUAACUGUAGUUUAAUUUAGCGUUAACUUGAAUUAUCCGGACUUACCCUGUAUCCGAACUUACCCUGAUCAAAUAUUAUCCACAUUAUUAUAGGCUAU